GCUGGGUAUGGUGGUGCACACCUGUAAUUCCAGUAUCUCAGGAGGCUGAGGCAGGAGGAUUGUAUUAUAAGUUCAAGACCAGCCUCCAUAAUUUAGGAAGACCCUGUCUCAA
rnacentral:sRNA from 1 species